rnacentral:ncRNA from 2 species
AAAUGCUUGUCGGGGUGUCCAGAACGAUCUUUCUGGGCUGAGACCACGUUUGUGGAACCCGCUGAACCUGAUCGGGGUCAUGCCCGCGUAGGGAACAUCGCUUCUUGGGUU